ACUUAAGAAAUGUGUAUAUCCUAAUAUUUUUACUAUCUCCUCAAUAUCAUCCAUAGUGAAACUAGAAAUGCCACUAAGAUUUACAGAACACCCACCAACAUAGUUGACUAUAGAAUUACUAAUUAAUGCACCACCAUGAUGAAAUUCAAUAGGAAUACUGCAGAAAUAUACACACAACAAUUAUAUUAGCAAUGCAGCAAUACAAAUGCCACUUUCUAGUAAUAACAAAUGCAAAUGCAUGUAGUAAUAAAUAACGCAAAUGCAAAUGCAAGUGCUCAAAGGUUGUAGUAAUAACAAAUGCAUUUUUCGUACAAUGUUAUACCCACGACAAUAAGAUUCCCCACCAUUUGCAUUGCUUUACCCAUUCAAUGUAUUAACAAAUACAUACCUUCGUUGUCUUUUUUCUGGAAGGAGCCAUCUUGCGGGGGACCACAGGCACGAGCUUCAACAAUAUUGGACCACAUAAAAAGGGACAAAGAUAAUAGAGCGAAUUCGGCGAAAUGAGAGAACUUAGGCUAUAUGUGUGGACGAAACGAGAUUGAAAUUAGAAGCUCUAGAAUACUGAAUUUGGGAUUUCGCCGGGAAAUAAAUUGAGGGAAAAGAAUUGGAAAAAUGUUAGGACGAAACGGUGAGUUUUGAGGUCCUUCAUUAUGCUCAGCCACGUAGACAAAUAUGUGGAGCCACGUGUAGACGUCAUGUUAUUACUAGCACACGCCAAAAUAUAGGUGGGUAGGAAUGAUACAAGACGCAAACAUGGUGGACCAAAUUGAUACGUUUUAAAGGUGAGGAUAGAUUCACGAAAAUGGUUAAAAAUUGGGGUAUCUGGGAUCAUUUUCCCUAACAUUAUAUGAAAUUUGACUAAUCUUGAUUAAAUUCUUGAACAAAAAUCUCAGCAACUCCAACACGGAUAAAAAUAAUUCAACUUUCUUUUCUUCACAUAUUUCUUUGUAAUAUGCAUGUUAGUUAAGUCAUGCACUGACUCAUCAUCAGAUAACAAUAAUAUCUCUAACGUCCAAAAACUGCUCAAAUUUUAUUGAGGAGAAAGAUAAAGAAAAUCCACCCUAGUCUUGAUACUUCAUUUUGUGCCACUUCAUUUCCUGGUACACAUAAUCCAAGCCUGUUCGUGAACUGUACCAUGAAAAGCACAUUAUGCAAUUAGUUCAAUGAUACAUUAUGGGAACUGAUGACUGUAUUAGAUGGAAACAUAUUGGUACCGUACGUGCUUGGAAUCAACUUUUAAGAGCUGAAUGCUAAAGUUGAGUGGAGUAAGAUCUUAUGGAAGAAGGUAACAUCCUUAGGCAUAAUUUUGUCCCUCUAAUUGGCUCUCAGGAAGAAGUUGCAAACUAAAGAGAAAUUGAGAAGAUGGGCGGGGCGGCGGCGGCUUGUGACAGAUUUGUGCUUCGUAAUUCCGAACCUGAAACUGCCACUCACUUAUUCUUUUGACUACCUUCAAUCAGCAGCAAUUCGGAACAAAAGGUUGACAGGCAAGAGAAGCUAGUUGUUUAAAGUGAUCUAUUUAUUGUGCCAUUUAUUUGAGUCGUUUGUGUGCGUCUUUUGUGGUGGCUAUGAGUUUGCGUUGGUUGAGUCCAGUAUUUCCUACUCUCCUACCAGUGUUGACUCUACUGAUUACCAUUUUCUAAUAGUUGCACUUGCUGAAAGGAGGGAGAGAUGAGAGCUAUCUGCGGUGAGAUGUUUGGAAAAUCAAAGGUUCAAAAGGUGUACAAUUGGUACAAAUGGCUUAGCAAUUCAUCCUUCCAUCUUGCUAUUAGCUGCUAUAGCGAUUGGUUCCUCAUGGUUUUUGCAAGAGGUUAAUAAGGAAGACGAUGGUGGAGACUUCUAGAAAGGCAUGAUAGAUCAGGGGUAUUAUGGUAAAUCCUAUGUCUUUGCAGUGGUGGUUGUUUUGGGCAAUAAGCCCAAUGUUUGAUGUUUUAAGAGCGCUUUUGCUUUAGAUCAGGGGUAUUAUGGUAAAUUCUAUGACUUCUAGAAAAGGCUUUUGCUUUACAAUGAUGCUAGCUUUCUUGUCAUGAGUCUUUUCCUACGUACUAACAUAUUUGUCAAACACUACGAGUAAAAAGUGUUUUCUUUGAAUAAUGAGUAAAAAGUAUUUAAAGUAAUAAGAACAUAAUCAAAACUUUUUUAAAAUAUAAUUAAAGAAUAUAUCAUUUUAAAAAAUAUAUAAUAAAAAUUAUAUAUA